rnacentral:lncRNA from 1 species
UCUUCUGCAUCACUCACGCUGGAGCUGUAGACCAGAGCUGUUCCUAUUCGGCCAUCUUGGCUCCUCCAGAUUUUCUCACUUAUUCUUGAAAGAAUUUUUCCAGAUUAUUAUUGUUAACCCAGGAGGCUGUCAAAUUAGAAAUGAAUCUGUGCCUCAAAAGUUAAAGAAACCAGUAACUAAUAGAAAUAAUUGAGUUUGCAAGAUGGCAGCUAAGAAAGAAAUAAUUUGUUGUUAACACUGAAACUCUCUCUGCUUAUGAGAUAAAGUAACUAACAUCAGUUGGAAUCAAUAUGGCCAGUGCAUGUCUGUGCAGAACCAGCUUGCUGACAUCACCACCUGAAUUUAUAUGAAAUGAUUCAUACUAACUCCCCUUGAAUUUGCACAUGUGAUCCAUGAGGUAUCAUGAAGAGACAACUGCACAUCCCCAGAGACUUUCCAGACCUCCACUUUUCUUCCACCAAUCACCUAAUCUCAAAAUCCACCCCCUGAAACUUUUCUAAUAAAGAUACUGCUUUGAAGCCAGCACAGAGAGACAGAUUUGAGCUUCACACUCCUGUCACCUUGUGAGUUAACUUCCAAUAAGACGUCUUUCUUCUCUCAAAACCUGGUAUCAUAGUAUCGGCUUCUAGUGCAUUGGGCAGCAAGCUCCCUUUAGCUUGAUAACAGAGUCUCAGAGUAGAAUGUCUUUAAAAUCGUCUCUACCCUGCCUCCUGCAUCAGCCAGCUAGUCCAUGCUUACACAUGCCCUGUGCUUUCUCAGCUUUGCUGUCCCACUGCCUGGCCUACAGCAGGCCAUGCCCUGGAAGACUCAAUUCUGAGUGCAGCCAGCCCUAUGAGAGGAGCCACCACACUGGGCACAGCAGUAUUGGAUCAGCUCUGUGAUUGGGGUGAGAUUUGAAGAGAGGUCUCCUCCACCUUCUGCCAGACUGCUGCCUGUCAGGACUAUUCUCUCUCCGACCCUAGCAAAGACUAUUUGGAAGAGCCAACACUUGUGAAGUGGAACAUAUUGCUGGAUCUUGAAUCAUUCCAAGCUUUCCUUAGGGGACACUGCAAGGGAUAUAUUGGAAGACCUGUCCUGGACCCUGCUCCUUCACUUACAAGCCAGCCUGAACUAACCUCUUUGAGGUUAGUCACUGGUAAGAUAGGGAUGAUGAAGAUGAUGAUGAUGUGCCAUCUCUCCUGCCUAUUCUAUAGAAUGGCCUUAUAUCCAAUCUGUAACCUGCAAAACCUUUGUACACAUACAAAGGUUAUUAAUAAAAUAAACAGCAUGUAGCCUUCUACUGGUAGUAUAACUUUGGGCAACUUAUUGAAACUUUUCUGGGCUUCAGUUUCCUUAUAUGUAAAAUUGGGAUAGUAAUAAUGUAUUCCUCUGGUCUAUGUGUUCAGGGUUUUGAAAUGGUGUUCUAACAUCACCUACUAUUCACUGGCUAGCAGUACCACUACUUGCCUACAGUAGAAUAGAAAGAAUUGGAGCUCAUUCCUGUGUGUAUAUAUACGUGGUAUGAUAUGAAUAUGUCUGUCAAAGAAAGGCUAAAGCACUGGUCCAGAUUAAAGGAAACUAAAAAGACAUGACAUCUCACUGAAAUAUUAAUAUAUAAUUCUAAAUUGGAUUCUGGAUAGGGGAGAAAAUGCUGUGAAGGACAGUUUGAGGACAAUUGGUGAAAUUCAGAUUUGGACUGUAUAUGAGAUCUUAUAAGUAUUAAAAGAAAUAAAGCAGAAAUAUUUAUAACAGUACCUGGGGUGUAGAAAGCACAAUAAUUAGUCAUUACCUAUAGGAUGUAAGCCAUGUUUUGUUCAGUACCAUAUCCCCAGAACCUAGAGCACAUAAUAUGUGCUUAAUUUUUUUGAGUGAAUGAAGAAACUGGGCUCCUACAACAAGACAGAGCUAAGAACUAGGGUGAGGUGCCCAGGGCCAACUGUCCUUACAUGCAGGGACUGAUUGUCAUUGUUGGUUCCUAGUCAUUGUUGGUUACCUUAGUGACCCUUGGCAUGCAAAACAUUCUAAGAUUGAUCCAAUUAUUCCAGGUACCUGGUUAACACAACCAAAAUUCCUGGCAGCUCUACACAUCAAAUGCAUUUGUAGAGAAGAGCAUAUAGAGGGAAUUGUGAGUAAGCCAGAUUAAUGCACCAGAAAAAGUAGAAACUGCACCAGAAAAAGUAGAAACUGCACCAGAAAAAGUAGAAACUGUACCAAGAACAGGAAGGACGGAUUGGCACCAGUGAAUUCAAACAAUAACCAGGUCUCAAGCAGUAGCCACCUCCAGUCUGAUACAAAGGAUUACUCCCUCCCCAGUGCCAGCUGGAGCCCCAUCAUGGUGAGGCUCUACAAUGAGUUCAUGGAGAAGACUGUGGAUGGGUCAUGGACAAGACUUCCAGGUUGUUGGUGCUCUGUGCAAUUCCUUAAAGAAGCAGACCUUACUAAGAUUGCUAAAGCUGUCCCUGCCAUCUUCUUACAAAUGAAGUGACGCAGAUGCAAGGUGCUGCAAGGCCCACCUCCUCCUGCUCUGACAGGCAGACAGGAAACCAAAG